CUGGAUCAAAGCAGCACAAAAUAUAAUAUGUAUCCUCCUUUUUCCAUCGUUAAUCAAUUCUCUUCUACCUGCUCUAAUUGCUAGGCUUGUGGACUCUUGCUCAUCUACCAAACGAAGAUGUUUGAUGAAAUGUUCCCUUCUGCUAUGGGGUGAUUCCAGCAGGAAGAGGCAGACUCCUAAGCAGCAUAGUCUCACUCAGAGCUGUCACUUGUGGCUGGUCAUCCCGACCCUUAGAAACAGAAUUAAAGAGAGGAGGGAGCACCAUGCAAUUGUCACACCAUUACUCCUAGCCCUGGAAAUGCAAUGAUAAAGAAGUUCAAGAUGCAAAAGAGACUGCUGGGAAGGUUGGCUGCCUUCUUAGAUCUGACAAGGAUAAUUCCAGAGCCUAUAACUUCUAGUAAUAAGGCUUCAAAUUGACAGCAUUUUGAUGUAUAGCCAUCACAGAACACUGUUUGACUUCUCCCAGCCUUUUGAAAUCUCACUGUCUACAAGGAGUCUUACAAUACAAGGUAAGAAACCUCUAUACUACAGUCUCAAGAAUAUGCAAGUAUUUUUCCAGGCUUCUGGCUGUCUUAAAUCACACUUUCUAGAGAAUUGCCCCUUUCCAGUAUCUCUCCUUAGACCAAAAGUUAAC
rnacentral:lncRNA from 1 species